UGCUGGAACACCAGUUCCCAUACGAUCCCCGAAGUUAAACAACCUCGAGCCUGGUUAGUAACUAGAUGGGUAACCGUUUGAGAAUACUAGUUGCUGUAA